rnacentral:rRNA from 1 species
CGGGUGAGUAAUGGAUAAGUAACCUGCCCUUAAGUGGGGGAUAACACUUCGAAAGAAGUGCUAAUACCGCAUGUGGUGCUCUUUCACAAGAAGGAUCACUAAAACCGCAAGGUGCUUGAGGAGGGGCUUGUCUCCGAUUAGCUAGUUGGUGGGGUAACGGCCUACCAAGGCGAUGAUCGGUAGCUGGUCUGAGAGGAUGGUCAGCCACACUGGGACUGAGACACGGCCCAGACUCCUACGGGAGGCAGCAGCAAGGAAUCUUGGGCAAUGGGCGAAAGCCUGACCCAGCGACGCCGCGUGAGGGAUGACGGCCUUCGGGUUGUAAACCUCUUUUCUCAGGGAAGAAUAAUGACGGUACCUGAGGAAUAAGUCUCGGCUAACUACGUGCCAGCAGCCGCGGUAAUACGUAGGAGGCGAGCGUUAUCCGGAUUUAUUGGGCGUAAAGUGGGCGUAGGUGGUCUUUCAAGUCGGAUGUGAAAUCUCCCGGCUCAACUGGGAGGGGUCAUCCGAUACUGUUGGACUUGAGUACAGCAGGGGAAAAUGGAAUUCCCGGUGUAGUGGUGAAAUGCGUAGAUAUCGGGAGGAACACCAGAGGCGAAGGCGAUUUUCCAGGCUGAAACUGACACUGAGGCCCGAAAGCGUGGGGAGCGAACAGGAUUAGAUACCCUGGUAGUCCACGCCUUAAACUAUGGGACCUAGGUAUAGGG